rnacentral:rRNA from 1 species
AUGCAACAGAAAGAGGUCAAGAAGCAUGAAGUGCUAAAGAGGCAAGGUCAUGAUGAAUACAGGGAAACAACUGAGGGAGAUUUCUUGGGAGAGGUCACUUGUGGUGACAAGGUCAUCUGUCAUUUCUACCAUCGUGAAUUUUACCGCUACAAGAAGGGUAUUGUUGUUGAUUGGUUGGUUUGUUUUGAAGACCUUGGAAGUAAAGAUGAUUUUUCUACCAGGGUUUUGGAAAAUAUACUGAAGAGGAAAGGUAUAAUUGUGGAAAAGAAGAAAGACAAUGAAGAAGAAGACGAUGAGACAGACAUGUCAAAUAAUAGGAGGGUUAGAUCUUCCACUGUUUACGAUUCAGAUUUAGAUUCAAAAGAUGAAUUGAUAUGA